GAGUGUGAGGGUGAAAAUUACAAGUUAUUUUCUAUUUCAAUUGGCCCAAGUAAAAGCCGUAUCGUAUUGGGCCUAAGAAAGGCCCCAAACUUUGACUGAACAACUAACAACGUGGUGAAAGUAGAACCUUAGGGUUUUUACUGUUUAAUCAAUCGGAAGAGCGCCGGGAACCACCGUUACCGUCAUUCGUCGGCUCCUCUCUCCGCCGCGCAUCCUCUACUAUCUCACCUGAUCCAAUGGCUCCGAAGAAGGAGAAGGCACCUCCGCCAUCUUCCAAGCCCGCUAAGUCCGGAGGUGGAAAGCAGAAGAAAAAGAAAUGGAGCAAGGGAAAGCAAAAGGAGAAGGUAAACAACAUGGUAUUGUUUGAUAAAGCUACUUAUGAUAAGCUAAUUUCCGAGGCACCCAAGUUCAAGCUCAUCACUCCUUCAAUUCUCUCUGAUCGUUUAAGGAUUAAUGAAUCACUAGCACGAAAAGCAAUUAGAGAGUUGAUGGCAAGAGGUACAAUUCGGAUGGUUUCUGCUCAUUCAAGCCAGCAGAUAUACACAAGAGAACAAUUCAUUAAUACGGCUACUUUUUUCCUUACGUGUACUUGUGAUUUCCUUGGAUUGUUAUAGUUGUUUGAGAGAGGCGAGAAAGAACGAUUGAAGGACCUUCUGAGUGAAAAGCUUAUCGAGUGUGGUUGGAAAGAUGAAAUGAAAUCCCUUUCUAGGUAUACGUUGCUAUUAUCCUGAAUGUGAUUGCUUCAAGGAGUAAGGGUUUAAUCCCUCUCAGAAAUCAGGUUUUAUUGGUCUCAUCACUGAUUAAUUACUGCAUAUUUUCUUUUGGAUGAAGUUUUUCAUUAUCCAUAUGGUGCUCAAAUGUUUAUUUUUAUGUCAUAUUAUGCUAUUUUAAAGAAGAGUGCUCUGUCUAAGUUCAUAACAGGUAUAUGUUUCACUGAUAUUCUUAUGUUUUCUUCUAGUUCAUACAAAACCAAGGGUUUGUUUUCAGUGUCUCAAAUGAAAAUGAAAUACAGGUAUGAUAUCUAUAUGUCCAUGUAAUUUCAUCUCUUAUAUCCUUACGAAAAUGCUUGUGAUUUUGAAAGGUUUGGGAUCUAGAACAGCGGCAGUUGGAUGCUAAUUUAUAAUGGGGAUCCAAUAUAAAAGUGCCUUCUCUGUAAUUUGUAGCACCAAUUACAUGUGAGUUUCCGAAAAAGUUCAUGGUUAAUUGUUUAUUAUUGCAAACAGAUAUGUUAGAGAUGAGUAUGGAUAUUUGUCUGAGUUGAAGUAUGACAUUGAAGAAGGGAAUAUCCAACCCAUGUCCUAUCAGCUUCCUCCAGAUCUCAUAGUUGAUGGAGGUGGGAUUCAAAUACCUGAUCAUCAGUUUGUUGUGGGACUUCUUGCCCAACCGUGUUCCACUAUGGAAAAUAAUUAAUCUUUUCUUUUUGGUUUAUCAUUGAAAUUCAUUACCUAUUUUCUUUCUUUAUGAUGAGUAGGUCAAUCUGUCAUAAUGUGCAUAAAUGGAUUGGGUUAAGUUAUGUUGCAUAUAUCUUUUAAUCUGCAGAGUGCCUGAUUGUAUAUCAAAACGGGUUGAUAAUUUUAUGGGCUGUGGGCAUGGUCAAUUUUCUAUAUAUGGGUUUUAUUUUUCAA